GAGCAGAGCUGUGAGAAAACACCCUGAGAUCUUCACCAGACCGCAGACAAACCACACACAACAACACACAACCUUCCAUCAUUCUCUCAGCUCUCGUCGCUUGUUUGCUGACGAACAAACCCGAUAAAGGAUGUAAACGACUGAAAGCGAUGAUUCUCCCGCACGCAGAGCUGGAACAAAAGCAAAAGAGCCACAAUGGAGGAGCGUAUAGAUGCUGCAGCGCCAACUUUCAUCAUCCUUCACUUUCAUUUCAGCACACGCAUGUGCCGAAAGCGUGUCAGCGAUGUUGAGCUCAACUUCAGCCCAUACAGGUAAUGCAAAACUACCUACUGUUCAUCUACUGCCGCUGAAUC